GAGAAAAAAAAAAAAAAAUCGAAGAGCCACUUUGCCCGCACCGCGCCGGGGUGUGCAAUAGGUGGAAUCUCCGAUGAAUACAACCAGUGCCUCUGUCAAGCACCGACACGCAAGCUUGGAGCGUACUCUGGUUGCAGAAUGACCAAAGUUCUAAGUUAUUUCUUGUUAAUCACAAGAAAUUAUUUGCACAGAGUGAUUUCGUGCGAUAAGCAUAUAUGGCACAAUUGCUUCGUCGAUACCAAAGCUGCCACGUGUUAGUCCUAGUAACUCCACGAGACGAGCGAGGGGACAGAGCACCUUUAUGCUCGGAAGUCAGGUGACAAAUGAAUGAAUGAGAUGAUGAAAUCAUCUCUGUUUACUGUGAAAGAUAUAACUUUAUUUUCAGCCAGUCAUUCGUCUUUUUAAAAGUCUUUUUUCUUCUGAUAUACUAAGUUUGGUGUUCUGCAUAUAAUUUUGGUGAUUGUUUGACAAACAUAUCCGGAGCAUGGGCCUAUGUAUGGACUAUUAACAUUCCAUACGUUUUUAAUGUGGUGACCUUGUCAUUAAUGCAGCUAACAGCAGAGCAAACCAAGGCAGAAGAAGUACAACUCAUUAUAUAGCUACUCUUGCUUUUGGUUUUAAGCAUCUUCUAAGUUAGAGAAUGUUUUGAAAAUCAGGAAACACCCAUGUUUUUUAAAGGUGGAAAUAAGAGUGAAUUAAAGAAAACUCACAUAUGCCUAUGUAUGAAUUUACAGCUAUUAUAGUCAGAGAUGCAGAACAUUUCUUUUUCUGUUUUUUCCCCCUUUUCAACAGAUAGCUUGAUAAAUGUAAUCCUUAGCAAUUAGCUGAAACACAAAAAUAUAUCGUGCAGAUCUGUCCUUCCCUUCAGUGGCACAGAACUGAACCAUUCUGUGAACUUAUAAAGACAAGUAUGUUCCUCUUUGAAUUCUUUCUCUCUGUUUAUGUAUAGAGAGAGGUGUUUAGAUUGUAUUCCUUGGAAAUUCUUACUUAUGGUGGUAUGCAGUUAAGAUGAAAUUAAUUUUAAAUUUUUUCUGUGGAGUUAUAGCUACAGAGAAGUGUACUAUAUUCAGUUUAAAAAUAUAAUGUUUUCUAAAAGAAGCAUAAUCUAAAUGCAUAUCUAAAAGAAGCAUAUUAAUGAAAAUAAAGUAAUAUUUUCAAGUCAUUGACAGAAAUGCAUUGAUGUCAGUGACUCAUAUUCUGAAGAGUAGCUUGUCAAUGACUCAUAUUCUGAAGAGCAGCUGUUGCAGCUUAUUUAAAUAGCUAUUGCUUGUUUUGGAAAAAUUACAUAUGUUAAUAGCAAAAACCUUCAAAUAUUCCAGUAUAAUUUGUACAUAUCUGGAAAAUUUUGGAAAACAAAUUGUUUUUUAAUCUUAAUGUAUUAGAAAGAAAAUGCUCUUAGUUUGAGAAAUUCCAAAAUUAUUAAUUUAAAUUAUUUAAAAAAAAUACAUCAGUAUUGUUUGGUAAUUUUAAGUUUAAAAAGAUUUAGUUACUUUGUAGUGUUUAUUCACUUAUGUGAAGGUAUACAUGUUUUUUUUUACUAUUUUUGAAACAUCUGUUAGUAUUUUAAUAAUUAAUUGACAUAUAAAUCUUUAGAGUUUUUAAGAAUCACUAUCUUCUGAUCUAUGAUUUGGGGAAUCUUGAAAAUACAUUGUUCCUUGCAUAUUUUUUCACCUAGCUUAGUGCAAGGUUCUGAAAAUUUUAAAUACAUACACAUAAUUUUCUCCUUCCUCUUUUGUUUAUAUUUUUUCCCUCUAAGCUCUUAUUGGUAAACUGUAUUCUCUUUAUUAUUUUUAUUUUGCAUAUUCAAUUUGUGUUUACAUUUCAUCAAUUUUAUUUUACUGGGCAUUUAUUAUUUGAAGAAAUUAUUGAAAGUAUUUUGUGCUUGUUUCCCAUUAAGCUACUGAAACGUGGCAGGUGUUCUCACACUGAGGAAGCACGUGGUUUGGCUUUAUAUCUAAUCUAUUGCUGAUGUGUUCAAUCUUGCAAAAUCUAAGCUUUUUGUUCCAUCCUCUUCUUUGUUCCUCUGAUGUCCCUCUAAUUAACUUCAGUCAAGACUCAUUUCUGUGAGGUGCCUUUGGGCUUUACAAGAUAAUUGAGCUGGACACAGCACAGAAAUUAUCAUCAGAUAUUGGCUCUAUAUUCAUCAGAUACUAUAAUGUUAAUAUUACUAUGUAUGCUAAUUGAAAUGCAAUUUAAGAAAUAAUAUUGAUAGUUAUCAGUAGUUUAUCCAUGAUUACUUUUCAUUUAUUACGUUCUUACUGUAACCGUGCUGUUCGGAAGUUAAAUUACUCUCAUAAUUUUCUGCUCUUGGUUUCGGAUAAUAAAAUUAGUUAAGAAAAGAGGAAAAAUACAUGAGAAAAGAUGAUAAAUAUAAUGAGACUUACACACACACACACACACACAUAUAUAUAUAUGUAUUUAAUUGAUUCCAAAGUUAUGAAUGGAUAUUUCAUAUAUUAUCAACUUAAUAAUGUGUUAUCCUCAAAACUUAUUUUCUAGGCCAUUCAUUGCAUUUUGAAACAUCUGUAAAUUAUGCAUCAUAUCAACCUAAUAUGAGUUCUGAACUUGAGGAUGUGAAGCCAAAUUUAAAUCAUCUGAAUAAUUUUGAAAAUGAAGUGACUAGAACUAUAACCCAGGUAUAUUCUUCUCAAAAGACAUGUUCAAAAUCAGCAGAUGAUGAAAAACUGAUUGCCAUUCUUAGAAGAUUAUCUCCCAAGGAAUGCCCAACAUGUCAUCAAGGCUUCACAGCAAGUGUUUUUAAUUACCAUAUGCUUAAUUGUCAAGGAGGAAUUUGUAACUCUGUGAAUUGUGAUGUAUGUGGGAAAACAUACAGAAAGAGGGUCUGAUACUUUGUGUGGAAAUAAUAUUUCAAUCAGUUUGGUUACUACCAUGGACUACCGACCAUUUUGUACAUUUUGUAAACGGCAGUUUCAUUCAGAACAAACUUUGAAACGUCAUAUAUCUGAACGUCAUGCUUUGAAUCCUCAAAGAUAUGGAUGUGAUUUAUGUCAGAAAAACUUUUCAAGAAGGCAUUAUGUAACAAUUCAUAAGAGAAUGAAUCAAUAUCGUGGAUUUUGUUCCUUAUAAUUUCACCUAUGGGCCAACAAUCGGACGAUUCUCUCAGCAGUGGAAAACGGUUCUUCCCACCAGCAUGAAUCAAACAAAUGUUUAGGAGAAAUCCGCGAGACAUCAAAUCAGCUGGAAAAGUGUUCUUCGAAGAAUGUGAAAAUAUAAAUUUAAAUGUAAUGUUAAAUUAAAUGAUAUUUUGUAAAACUUGGCUCAAGCAUUUAGAUUUUAAAAUCUUAUUCAAGGUCAUUAAACCUUUUGUU